rnacentral:rRNA from 1 species
AGAGCUUGAUCAUGGCUCAGGGUGAACGCUAGCGGCGCGCCUUAGGCAUGCAAGUCGAACGACGUGCCCCCGCAAGGGGGUUACGAGUGGCAGACGGGUGAGUAACGCGUAGGAAUCUACCCUAAAGUGGGGGAUAAUUCGCCGAAAGGCGGACUAAUACCGCAUGUGAAGGCAACUUCAAAGUACGUAACUGUACGCUUUAGGAUGAGCCUGCGUCCCAUCAGCUUGUUGGUAGGGUAAUGGCCUACCAAGGCAACGACGGGUAGCUGGGCUGAGAGGUCGGCCAGCCACAAUGGCACUGAGACACGGGCCAUACACCUACGGGUGGCAGCAACCGGGAAUCUUGGACAAUGGGCGAAAGCCUGAUCCAGCGACGCCGCGUGGAGGAUGACGGCCUUCGGGUUGUAAACUCCUUUUACUAGGGAAUAAACUCUGCGAGGAAUCGGUAAUCUUUGCUUUAGAAAAAUCUAGCAGUAUUUUGUGAGCAGCCGCGGUAAUAC